AUUUUUUUGCAAUUAUCACCUAUAAAUACAUACUUAUUGCCCAUUUAUUGGCCAGAUAACACUUUUGGUUAGUUUUUGGCUCACGAAGAAGAAGAUCAAGAACAACCUACAAAACCCAUAGCUUUGCCCUCAAAACCCAGUUCUUCCUCUUCCUCUCUGUUUUAUUCUCUACCCAAAUCCAAUUAAAAGGGUGACAUUUUGAGCUAUUUCCCUAUAAUGGAAUCGUGCAAAGCCCCCAAAUCCACCCCCUUUUGACUUAAAACAACAAAUCCACAAACCCUAACCAGUGAGAAAGGGAGCUAUUUCAAUGGCGAUACAGACCUCGAGCCCGAGCAAAAGACAUGCUUUAGGCGAAACGACUCAAAGCACUUCUUUGUUUGGAGGGAGUUUCUGUGUGGAGCUAAUUCUGGGGCAUUUGGAGAAGGAAUAAUGCGUCCAGUUGUCUCUGUAAAGAUAAGUUUUUGUUGGGAGCUAUUUUCAGGGCAUUUGGGGACCUGUAAAGACAUGUAUUCAGAGCCAAGCUUAUCUUUGUGCAAUUCAGGUUAUGUUCUAUCUGAAGGCUUGAAAGAUUGAAUAGAAUAUGGGAAGCAAAAUUACAUGCAAUCCAAAUUUCCAUAGUGGUGGUAUGUUUGAGGGACGCUUACAAGAAGGUUUGUCUAGUGGUGGUAUGUCUUUAAGUCUUGUAUAAUUGAAUUCAGUAUUUUUUGUAGGGUGAUAUAUACUUGCCUUGAUUCAUUGAUGGAUUAUGGAAGUUAGACAUGAUAGCAAAAUGGCCUAACAUUUAGUAGUUUUUUGUAAGGCCUAACAUUUACGUCGAAAAUUUUCUAUGGUUCAUUGGAUGGAUUAUGGAAGUUAGACGUUAUAGCAAAAGGGUUUAUCAGUUUCCAUCUAAUGUUUUUGUUAAUUUAGUACAAGGGUGGUUGGAUGCACAUCUCAGAGGUAGCAAAUCCAGUUUUAGCUCUUACAUUAAUGGCAGCACUGCGAAUUUCCAAGAAGGAUUGAGCAUGUCAGUAGAUAAAAGGGAUUUUACCUUUACAAAGGAGCUGCAUGAGAAACUCGCACUAAAUUUCUUUCCCAUCCGAUCUUGUUUGCAGAUUGGGGAAUGUUUAUGUAUCCAAUUAAAUAAUUUGGACAAGAUUUUAAUGAUGUUUUCAUGUAAUGUGUGUGUAUGUAUGUUUUUAAGACAAAGGAAAUUUAGUACAUAUGCGGAUAAUUUAAUGCCUGGUAUUGUUUUGGAACCAUAAUCAUUGUCAAUCUCAUUGUCUCUUUAAAAGAUUGCUGUGAAAUUGUUACUUCAUUUUCUUCUUUCCUUUGUUUUAAGAUAUUUUUGUUUGGAGAAAAAGAACUCUGUUUUUGUAAUCUAAAAGACUAGGUAUUUAUGUCCCACAUCUUGGGACUAAUUGAAUGUGCUUUUUGAUAUUGAAAGGAAGCUAGCAGCAUCUUUGGUUGAAAAAAUGAAGGUGUUAAUGCUGAAGUAAUUUCUACUUGAUUUCAAUUUGCCUAUAAAACUUGUUGACUGGUGCUCAACAAGUUGGGUUUUUGUAGCUUGAAUUGCCAUAUAAUUUAGGUUUGCUUUUUGCAUGUGAGUGUUUUAAUGGAUUGGAUCUUCUACCUGUAUGUUUGUCAAAUCUCAAUCAUGUUUCUGAGAUGAGUUGUGCAGUAGUGUUGGUUGAAAUUAAUAUGUUAUUUAUUCAUUGAAAGCAUAUUGUUUCUCGACGGUGAGUAUUUGACCAAACUAUAAUUUGCUGUAGUUUUGUCUUGACAAUUUAUGUUUCUUUCUCUUUUUCUUUUCAAGUUGUAUAAGGAGAAGAAAAGCCGCACCCAACUCGUUUCCCUGUGAAGAACAAAUUUGAGGUUAACAGUUACAAAAUGUGUUUUAGCUGGUUUGUGCAGACACUGAUGUGCAAGUCAUACACUAGCGUUGGAGACCAUUUUGUGCAUAAUUUAAUGUGUAGACAAGGAGUUCUUUGAGAUGCCUUCUGAAGACAAAAGCAAAGCUUCUAUUAUGAGAAUGCUAAGCAAACUUGCAGCAAACUGUACACAUAAUUGAUUAUGCUUGUUAUUAUUAGUAAGGACAUCUAAGACAUUAUGUAUUCUUCUUGUGGAGCCGUAUGUUUCUAAUAUUUGUGUAAUGUACUUCAUACUGUUUUUGAGGUCAUUAUUAUAAUGAUAUGAAAUUUUCAUACAUGGUUAUUAUUUUUUAUGUACUAUUUAUUAUCUGUAGGAACUGAAUAUUGUAAUAGUUCAACAAUUAGAACAUUAUAUAAUAUGGGAAAGAGAGUACAAAGACAU